UUUAAUGAGAGUUUGAUCCUGGCUCAGGAUUAACGCUGGCGGCGUGCAUAACACAUGCAAGUCGAACGAUGAAACUUAAAUGAUCUCUUCGGAGUGAACUUAAGUGGAUUAGUGGCGGACGGGUGAGUAACGCGUGAGUAACCUGCCUUAGAGAAGGGGAUAGCCUUUGGAAACGAAGAAUAAUACCCUAUGACAUGAUAGCCUCGCAUGAGAUUAUCAUCAAAGAUUUAUCGCUCUAAGAUGGACUUGCGUCUGAUUAGUUAGUUGGUGGGGUAACGGCCCACCAAGACAGCGAUCAGUAGCCGGCUUGAGAGAGUGUACGGCCACAUUGGGACUGAGACACGGCCCAGACUCCUACGGGAGGCAGCAGUGGGGAAUUUUGCACAAUGGGGGAAACCCUGAUGCAGCGACGCCGCGUGAUUUAGAAGGCCUUCGGGUUGUAAAAAUCUUUUCUAUGGGAAGAACAUGACAGUACCAUAGGAAUAAGGACCGGCUAAUUACGUGCCAGCAGCCGCGGUAAUACGUAAGGUCCGAGCGUUGUCCGGAAUCA
rnacentral:rRNA from 1 species